rnacentral:rRNA from 1 species
UACGAAGGGGGCUAGCGUUGUUCGGAAUCACUGGGCGUAAAGGGCGCGUAGGCGGCUUUAUAAGUCGGGGGUGAAAGCCUGUGGCUCAACCACAGAAUUGCCUUCGAUACUGUAUGGCUUGAGACCGGAAGAGGUUAGUGGAACUGCGAGUGUAGAGGUGAAAUUCGUGGAUAUUCGCAAGAACACCAGUGGCGAAGGCGGCUGACUGGUCCGGAUCUGACGCUGAGGCGCGAAAGCGUGGGGAGCAAACAGG